GGCUCCAUGGCUUAGUUGGCUAAAGUGCCUGUCUCUUAAAUAGGAGAUCCUGGGUUCAAAUCCCAGUGGGGCCU
rnacentral:tRNA from 1 species